UACAGAGGUCUCAAGCGUUGUUCGGAUUCAUUGGGCGUAAAGGGUGCGUAGGCGGCGCGGUAAGUCGGAUGUGAAAUCUCGGAGCUUAACUUCGAAACUGCAUUCGAUACUGCCGUGCUUGAGGACUGGAGAGGAGACUGGAAUUUACGGUGUAGCGGUGAAAUGCGUAGAUAUCGUAAGGAACACCAGUGGCGAAGGCGAGUCUCUGGACGAUUCCUGACGCUGAGGCACGAAAGCCAGGGGAGCAAACGGG
rnacentral:rRNA from 1 species